ACUCCUACGGGAGGCAGCAGUAGGGAAUCUUCCACAAUGGGCGCAAGCCUGAUGGAGCAACACCGCGUGAGUGAAGAAGGGUUUCGGCUCGUAAAGCUCUGUUGUUAAAGAAGAACACGUAUGAGAGUAACUGUUCAUGCGUUGACGGUAUUUAACCAGAAAGUCACGGCUAACUACGUGCCAGCAGCCGCGGUAAUACGUAGGUGGCAAGCGUUAUCCGGAUUUAUUGGGGCGUAAAGAGAGUGCAGGCGGUUUUCUAAGUCUGAUGUGAAAGCCUUCGGCUUAACCGGAGAAGUGCAUCGGAAACUGGAUAACUUGAGUGCAGAAGAGGGUAGUGGAACUCCAUGUGUAGCGGUGGAAUGCGUAGAUAUAUGGAAGAACACCAGUGGCGAAGGCGGCUACCUGGUCUGCAGCUGACGCUGAGACUCGAAAGCAUGGGUAGCGAACAGGAUUAGAUACCCUGGUAGCGAGUAG
rnacentral:rRNA from 1 species